AAAAACUUCCUGCGCGAGGAGAAGACUUGCCAAGCUCAACUGAGACGCCAGAACUCUGCUUCUGAGCAAGCCGGGCCGCUCGGAUUGGGCUUCGGCUUCUUCCUUCCAUCUUGUCGGAUACUUUUUUUUUUUUUUUUUUUCUUGGGCUUUUUGACCCGUCACCACGGCUUCCAAGGUGGACGCCGUGUUUUCCUCGCUGCCCUUGCAUUUCUUCAAGCGAGAAAUGGAAGAGGGCUCUGGCUCCCCGCUGUCCCCCGCCGACAGCCUGGCCACCACCAGCGAGGAGGAACCGGAGCGCCGGCGGCCCAACAAGCGCUGCACUCGUAAGCGGAGGCCCAGCAAGAAGUCCGGCGACGACAGCGGCAGCGGCGGCGGCAGCCCGGCGCCCCUCAAGCGGACCAAGAAGCCCAGCCCGGCUGGUUCCACCGGGUCCGGGGGCGCUCAGUCCUACGAAGAGCUCCAGAACCAGCGCGUGCUUGCCAAUGUGCGCGAGCGCCAACGGACGCAGUCCCUCAACGAGGCCUUCGCGUCACUGCGCAAAAUCAUCCCCACACUGCCGUCGGACAAAUUGAGCAAGAUCCAAACACUCAAGCUGGCGUCGCGCUAUAUCGACUUUCUGUGUCAGGUGCUGCAGAGCGACGAGAUGGACAAUAAGAUGUCCAGCUGCAGUUACGUGGCCCACGAGAGACUCAGCUACGCCUUCUCCGUGUGGAGGAUGGAGGGCGCCUGGUCCAUGUCCGCCUCGCACUGAGCAACCCUUCACGUCGGACGCCCGCCCGAGAGGUGAGAGGGCAACGCAGGCGCCACAAACUCCCUUUGCAUUCCUAAGCACAAAAUUUGGAUCGAGACUGUCUACAGAAACCAAAUGGACUAUUGGGGAGCACAUGGACAUAAUGUGACACACACACUUUGACGAGUGUGUUCCAGGAAGUUGUGAAGCCAUUGUUGGAAAGAUGGCUUGGACUAGACAGCUAAAGAAGGAUCAAAAUAUAUUUGUCGUUGCUUCCCUGAAGACUUUUUCAUGAUCUCGAAAUGAAUUGACCAACGGGGACAAAGGCAACCCCGCCGUGCUCAUCCUAAAGUUUUGUUUGUACAUUUUCGCUUAUUUAUUAAAACAUAUUUUUCAAGGAAAUCUGGUUCACUUUUUUCAAGUGAUGAAUAGAAUUCCAAGGAGGGAUUAACUCAUCGGCUGUCAAUGAUGGUGAUAGACAUCCAAUCGUUUUUGACUGGGUGGCCUUGCAGCCAGUGAAAAUGGAUUGCACGUCUAUCGCCGUCAAGCAGCGAAUAAGUUAAUGGUGUACCGCAAGCCUCCAUACUGGAUAGUUUACUUCUUCCAUUUGCGGCAACAAAAACUUGCUCUCUCGCCACACUGAAAGGACAUUUUUGUUAAAGGGAUCCACGGAUAGAAUUAUAGUAGUUCUUAAAAGAUAAACGUUAUUAUGAGUUAAAAUGAUUUGAUAUUGAAACCCCCCUUGAUGUUUUCGUUUUUCUAAAAUUUGUAUAAAUUAGUUUAACUAGUAGGUCGCCAUUGUUGUUGACAUCGCAGGGCGGUGACGUCACAUGGUUAUGCUGCCAGAUUUCCAGAGUAUGACUCUAGCGACAUAAACAUGUCAUCCCUUCAACCCUUUCAAUUUGAACCCAAGAGGAACAUUAAUAAGCUUGACAGCAUUGCUGAUAUUUCACAAAACAAGCAGCAAAAGCAAAAUGAACUGGAAAGACGGGAUGAGACAAGACUAGGGGAAAAAAAGUGUUCUACCAAAAUGUGCUACACCGGCGAAGCGUCUUACAAGAAGCGAAUUUGACACCCAAAGUACUGCCGUGCGCCUUCAGCUUGUUUUGCUUAGAUGCAUACAGACAGAACAUACUAAAGAUACCUUCAGAAAAUGCUUGAACGUAGCAAUAUCAAUAUGCUGUAGUUACAUAUGCUACGUGACUAAUGUGGUCAACAGAUCAACAAUCUGCUUUAAAGCUACCACAAAAAAAAAAAAAAAAAAGCAACGCUUAAAAGUAUGACAGGGAAACACAUGCAAAAAGUAUUUUGAGGCAAUGAAACGGUAAUAAAAGAAUCAAUAAAAACACAAAUAGUAAAUACUCGCCGCUUUUAACCGAUGAGCGUAUGUGUUGGACGUCUCGCCACGAAGGAAUUGCUGUAACCCGGUAGAAAUCGUUGCGUAACAGUGACAAUCUACGUCAUCACCCCGAGCGUCCAUUGCGCACUUAAAACAUGGCGCCCUCUGUAAGUCAAAACAUGUACUAAAUAUUAUAGAUUUUUAAAUCAAUGGCAAUAUUCUAUGUGUUUUUAAUAACAUAUUUUAGUAAACGACAAUAAUUGUGGCUGAUUAGAGCCUACAAGUCUUUAAGUCUGAGGUUCCUUUUAAACUUUAACCGCGUAAUGACAAUCAGACCCACGUUGGCGAUUAUCAGACAUCUUCGCUGGAAUUUCUUAACAUUUUGGCAGCAUUGAACUACAACUUGUGGGGUACAA